rnacentral:lncRNA from 1 species
GAGAAUCAGCGUGCGAUAUUUUUCUCUUCCUCUUCAUGUUCGUGUUCUUGCAACUCUCUUUGUGUGACCGGUCAUCUUCUGGAUGAUUUUAUGAAUAAUUUCUUAGUGAGAUCGUUGUGCUCUAAGUGAAGCAUAAGUUGUGAGAGUUUUGUAUAGAGAGUUUCAAGUUUUGAGGGAGAUUUGUGGUCGAAACCUUCGUGGUUCUGUACUGUACUAUUUCUUGCCCAUUUUAACGGCUUUAUAGUGGAUUCGAGCUAUAUCAUGUGGGAUGCUCAAUAGGAGACUAAGCGUUAAAAGCGGUCGCUAAACCUCCGGGGCCUUUUGGCCGAAAAAUCCUUGUGUUUUUGUGUUUUCUGAAGUUUUAUGUUUUGAACUUUACAGCAAAAUCAUUUUUCAAAUGAAAGUCUUUAUUUAGGACCAACAAUGGUAUCAGAGCAGUUUUCAAAUUUUCGUUCCUUGUCUUGCUUCAAACCCAAUUCUUGAGGGUUGAUCUGCUUUAUAAAAUUGUGGAUCUAUAAAGAUUCAUCAUCAAUUUGGUCAAGAAAUUCUCUAUUUGAUUUUUCGAAAAAUCGCCUUAUAAAACCUUGUGGUCUUUGCAAUUCUUGGUUAUAGAUUUUUAAUCUAAUCCAUCUUUUUAAGACAAGUUCUUUCUCCUCUCUUAAGACUCCUAGACUGCCCCCUGCAUUCACGAAUCCUUGAGAGAUCCCUAGAAUCUGAGGGAAGUAGGGUUUGGCGUGAGGAAAUUCGCAAGCAAUGUCGUGAUUAUUACCUAUUUUGCGUUAAAAUACUUAGUGUAUUAUAAUAAAUGUUGCUGCUUUGAAUUUUUUGUUUAGUUCUGCAUAGUAUAAACUGCAUAUUUGUAUUUUAAAUUCUACUUCAUAUUGUAUUGUGAAAAUCAUAAAUGUAAUAUGCAUGUUCUCAAUUCAUAUUGUUUACUGGGCACAACUAUAUUCGAGAACAUUCAUCUGCAAUAUAAUUGUGGUUCACCCUAUGUUUAAGUUCUUGUAUAUCUUUUAAAUUGAUCUGUGUGACAUCUUAUAUUCUUGAUCCCAAAAUUCUUGAUUGCUAUUGUUAUAAUCCUGCACACAAUGACCACUAAAAUUGAUGUUCAAAUGUGAGAUGGCACAGAAGACUUUAGUCUCUGGCGCUAAAAGAUGAAAGCACUUAUGUUACAAUUGAAGUGUACUAAGGCUUUAGAUUAAUCUUGGG